rnacentral:ncRNA from 1 species
UAACUGGCUGAAUUCCCCGCACAUUCCUACUGAUGGGGAUGGCUGGCACCUCGAUCUCGGCUCGUCGCAUCCUGACGUUAAGGCAGGUUUUAAGGGUCGGUUUGUUUGUCAUUAAAGAGACGCGCUUGCUCGAUUCGGAACGCCGUGACAGAGUUC